ACCGAAUCGGCACAAGUUGUUUCCCAACAGUGGCAUACGUCGGUCCUUUACGCCGUAUCGGGAACAGUUCUACUUUUACUUGUAACAACGUUUACCGUGCUUCUUUGUAGGCGAUGCAAACCUCAUGUUUAUCACACUCUUCUACGCCGAAGAAGAACUGCAGUUAAAGAGCGAAGUACACAUGUGUACGAUGAUGUUCAUUCUAAUCAAGAGACGACUGCGCUUCACAAUCUGAGAGGAGUGUCUGCACGAGCCAUCGAGAACAAAGACGCACCACCACUAUUGGAUACGGAAGAAAACAAAGACCGUUCAAACGAGAAUGUCAGCCACUACGACUAUGUUGAUACCCAAUCCGACGACAGAGACCGUCGAACAAACUCACCGGAUGCAAAUUAUAUCCAUGCUAUAUAACCGAUUUAGUAACUGAUCAAAUAUUAACUAUGUAGACGGAUUUGUGUCAUUUGGAGUUCACCGAAUUAUUAUUAUUUCACUGACCGUUUCAAGACCGUAACUUGAUAGUUUAUUGUUAGUAAGUGUACUGAUGUUGUGUUUGCAUGUGUGUUCUGAUAUGAACGUUUUGCUUGUAAUACAUUGUUAAGUUUAACUUAUCUAUUAAUUAAAAAGUGCUUUGCAAUUAUUUGUGAAUCAUUCGCUUUUUCCAAAUCGCUGCUUAUCAUUUAAAAAAUGUAUCUUUUAUCUAUAACCUAAUCAUAUGUUAAUGUCAACUGUAUUUAUAGUAUUAACCGAAACUCAUUUUAGAGUAAAAAUCCUGUCGCUCAAAUUUGGAGAAAAAUCAAAAUUCCUUUUGGUUAAGUGAGAACUGUAGAGUUCAUUAGUGUCUAGUCUGGUUGAAUCGUAACUUGGAUGAGUUACAACUGUUACUCCGUCUGUAUUCACAUUCAUUCUCUGGAACUGUUUGUAUUUAUUGUUUUCAAGUAGGCUCUAAAUAGACCGUAAGGUGUAUUGUGCAAUGUUUCGACAAGUUUAAUGUUGAGAUCUUGUAAACCGGGCUACCCGCAUUCAAAAUGUAACUACGAUGUUUCCUGCUUGAUGUCAUUCGUUGAACAUUUAUUUAUCAACGAUUAAUUUGUAUUUUUAAAACACUGGAACUAAAAUAUAUAUCCUUGUUGUAUAUUGUGCAACUAGUUGAUCGCU